ensembl:lncRNA
AGUCAUCACCAAUAAAACCCACGAGAACCAAUGUACAUUAGAUGUCCAAUACUCUAUUCUUCACCACAUAACACUGGAACACUAAGACAUUAUGUUUAGGCCUAUUAACAUUUAACAAAUAGAAAUUAUCCUUCAUACGGUUGAUUGGAUCUGGGGGUGAUGUGUAGAGACGGAACAGACCCUGGAUUAUAGAUGGUGUGAACCUGAGAUGAGUCAAGGAGGAACAGGAGGCAAAAUAUGAUGUUGACACAUUGCACGCGUGUGCAUGCUAGUCACCUUUUCAUGUCUGAGCUCUCACAUGAGGACCACUCAGACUUUUCGUCAGAGACAAACCAACUGUCCUUUGGUGUGAGGUAGUAGGUUGUAUAGUUUUAGGGUCACUCCCAAGCUGUCAGAUGACUAUACAACAUACUGUCUUUCCUGAAGUGGCUGUAAUAUCAUCACAGACUCGCCACAUGAAGAACCCUCGGCAAAAGCUGCAAUGAAAAUGUACCUUUCAUGCCUACAUUAUUACCAUUCUUACAAUAUUCUUACAUCAUUUUAUAUUUGAACAGGAAAUUAGGUUUCACUUCAGGUUAAUUCACAUUUUCUGGUUGGACUCCAUCUCUAACCAACUGGUCAACCGGACUGUGCCCGGUCGUGGUUCAUGGUGUUCACACAGGGUGAGGUAGUAGGUUGUGUGGUUUCAGGGUUGUGAUUUUGCCCCAUCAGGAGUUAACUGUACAACCUACUGCCUUCCCUGAAGGGCAGCAACACAACAUUACAAGCAUGGCCACAAUGGAGCUCACCGUUUACUGUGCUGUUUUUAAGUGGAGCGCAAAGUAAAGAAGGUAAGCUAUCUCAAAUCUUUGCCUUGGUACUACUGCACAACAUCUGCUUUAUAUCUUGGAAUUUGGAAAUAGGCCUAUUGUUUAUCAACCUUCAAUUUUGUAAUAAUGCAUUCUGUACUAAAAGUCAUAAUAAAAAGUGAGUAGUCUUA